UACGGAGGGUGCAAGCGUUAUCCGGAUUUACUGGGUUUAAAGGGUGUGUAGGCGGAUUAUUAAGUCAGUGGUGAAAUCUCCGAGCUCAACUCGGAAACUGCCAUUGAUACUAUUAGUCUUGAAUUAUGUUGAGGUAGGCGGAAUAUGUCAUGUAGCGGUGAAAUGCUUAGAUAUGACAUAGAACACCGAUUGCGAAGGCAGCUUGCUAAACAUAUAUUGACGCUGAGGCACGAAAGCGUGGGGAUCAAACAGG
rnacentral:rRNA from 1 species